ensembl:lncRNA
GCAGAACUGCACAAGAGAUUCAGAUCACUUACUGUAUCAGUUGGAUCAUGCAAAAGGUAGAGAUGAGCUGUUAGACACCAACACUCAUAAAAGGGGAAGCCCCCUAGCAAAAACAAGACUCAUCAUCUGACAUACAUGACAGAAAUGGAAGUUUUCGGCUCAAAAACACCCACCCAUGAGAGGCCCAGGUCAAAAUUAGCACUCAUUUCUGAUAGACUGGAAGUGAACCUUUUUACAGGGGUGUAAAUGUGUUUUCUGUCUUAAUCUGUCUACUUCACUCAUGCAAGACAAGUGUCAGUAUUAUUAUAUUAGUCAUGCUUAAGUUUGCUGGUUUGAGCAAAUCCUAAUUAAUCAAAUUUGGCAAUAAAACAGCCCAAAAAAUACAACAGACUUGCGCCAAAGGGAGGGAAAUGUAGUGCCAUACAGUGUAACCAUGCACUAAAAGUAUCUAAGAACUCCUUAGCAACUGCAUGGCAACGGCCUGGCAUCAUGACUGAGUUUUGCUCUGGCGAACGUUAAAGAAAUUGCUCUUUACUAUUAUGUGUUACUAUUGCAGCACAUUAAUUAUGUGAGUUUUGCGUAAAACUGUCUAUGUGUAUUGCAACGGCGUGACUGAUGUAAAUGGUUUAUGUACUUCGGAACCAUAACUUUAUGAUCGCAAAGUAAAUCCGCUAUGAUAGAAUGUUUAGGAGAUGUUACUUUUUCAUCCAAGCUGCCUUUUUUGGUCACCAAGAUUUCUCAGAGCUUUUCUCAAGGCUUCCAUCUUUAGGCUUGUUGGUUAAUCACAGACCACACAUGCUGGAGAACGCUGAAAUUACACCAAAAACAAGGGUAGAGUGUCUUGUGUAAGCAGUUUUUCCUUGAGCUCCUGACAGUGACAGCUCCUGCUCACCAUCCAGUUUCACAGUAUGGAGAACCUCUGAGAUUCUGCUAAACGUCUGUUUUUGUGUCCUGCAGAAGAAAUAGUCAUACAGCUUGAGGGACGUUCCUGAGAUGACAGACAUGCACACCUACAGGAGUUCAGGGGUGAAGCCCCCCCAUGGCGACGGAAACGGCCCGAGGAAAGGCCUCAUGCUGAAGGGAGAGGGGCCCGGCAGCUCCCUCAAACAAUGGAAGUUCUUGGAAGAUUUUAGGAAGGUCCUGUGAUUUACUAUUCAUCCUUUUCUUGAAUGCCACUUCACUCCCUGUUCACUCUGAAACAUGGAGCAGUUUCUCAAAAAGUGUGUUUCUUUGCGUGCACGUGAGACUGAUACCCGUGUGACCCAACCGGUUGAGCGGCUUUUUGGCGCCCUCAGAAAAUAAAAAGAAAUAUAUUGUGCAAAGCAGCUAACGUGUCAACACAAGCUUUUAUCAUUCCUUUGUCUGUUUAAAAGCUUUUAUGUGGAAUAAUCUUUCCGACACAAUUUGACAUACUUGAAAUAAUCCACAUAAAUUCCAUUAUUGUUUAAAGACACCCUUGCUUCUACGCUUAAUUACCCCGGCGCUUCUCUCACUGUGACUGAACUCUCAUUAUGCUCUGAGGGCAUGAAGAAAAGGAGGUUUAACAUCCACAAAAGAAAGAACCUUCUUAUACCCUGGAAAAUGGAUACACUGUGACCUUUAACCUUUGGGGGAUUAGGCUUCAUUAGGGGGUGACCCUAAAACCUCUGUUCACCCGUAUGCUCAUCUCUCUGGGAUUAGAAAUCUUCAACCAAUAGGUCCAUGGCAUUUAAAGGCAGGUUAUCAACGUGUAGUGUGUGUUGCUAGUUUGAUUGUAAAGAAAGUCACAAAUAAAUUUUACUUCACCAUAAACAUUACCAUCUCUUGUUAAGGGAGAAGUGAUCAGUCAGCAGAGCAGGCGUAUGAGUGUUUACUUAAUACUUUGUUCUUGCAUCUGUUGAUUAAAUUGUUACUUGCUGCUAAGAAGGUUUUUUUUUAUUCUCUGGCUAUUUCUACUGCUAUUUUUUAUUGUAAUUUGUAUUUUUGAUUGCACUUUAUUUGUAAUUAGAGUAAUAGCUGUCGGCUAAGAAACAGCUUUUGUUAUUUAUAUUGCUCUGUUUCUGCACUUAAGUGCAAACUUUAGUUUCGAAUUGAGCGAUUUGGGUGUGCUAAUUUAACAAGGCGGCCAAAGCUGUUUUCUCUGAAGUGUCGGGUGGCUGUGUAUUUGGUUGUUGUCUGUCAGCUGAGGUGGAAGCUGGAUGGUCUGCUGUCCUCAUUCCUGGAGGAUAGCAGUCCAAUUAGUCUUUGGCAACUUUAACAUUCAUACACUCGGCAUGGAUGAAAGAACAUUACCUACACCUCAACCUGGCAAAGACUGAGCUUCUUGUCUUCCUGGACACUCCAAAUCUACAGCAUGACUUCACCGUCCAGUUAUGUUCAUCAACAAUUACCCCAUCAAGUUCGGUCAGAAAUCUUGGUGUAAUCUUUGAUGAUGACCAGCUGACUUUCAAAGACCACAUUUAAAAAACUGCUAGAUCUUAAGGGUUUGCAUUGCACAACAUCCAAAAUAUCAGGCCCUUCCUAACGGAGCAUGCUGCACAACUUCUUGUCCAGGCCCUUGUCAUUUCUAGGCUGGACUACUCCAGUGCUCUUCUGGCUGGACUUCCAUCAUGCACAGUCAAACCUUUACAAAUGAUUUAGAAUGUAGCGACAUGACUGGUCUUCAAGGAGCCCAAAAGAGCCCAUGUUACACCUCUCUUUAUCUCCUUGCACUGGCUGCCGGUUAUGGCUCGCAUCAUGUUCAAGACACUGAUGCUUGCAUAUAGAACAGCCACAGGCUCAGCACCCGCCUACUUCCACUCACUACUACGUAUCUACAUCUCCUCCAGAAGUCUGAGAUCCGCAAGUGAGCGACGCCUUGUAGUACCAUCACAAAGAGGCAGAACAUCACUUUCCAAAACAUUUGCGUUUAUCGUUCCUGGCUGGUGGAAUGAUCUUCCAAACCCUAUCCGAAAUGCUGAUUCCCUGACAUUUUUCAAGCGACACCUGAAAGCUCACCUCUUUCAUCACUAUCUGACUUCAUCCUAAAAAAAAUAUAUAUUUUUCUCUUUUCUUUCAUUUUCUUUCUUUGUCUAGUUUGUACUUAUUUGAACAAUGCUUGAAACUUGGUAUGACGAGCACGUCCUGUGUCUAUUUGCCUCUUUAAGAUGAAUCGCUUGAUAUAUUUCCCAACUGUAAGUCGCUUUGGAUAAAAGCGUCUGCUAGAUGAAUAAAUGUAAAUGUAAAGCUGUUUUAAUACCUUAAUGAUUAACUAGUCUAGAUAUUCAGGCUAGUUAGUUCUGUAUAUCAUUCCGUACCAAAUUUUAAAGAAAUACAGGAGUAAAUGUCAGAAUAUAUUUUUUUUUAUUUGAUCAAUAAUCCCAAAACAAAGCAAAGAGGGACAUGGAUCUGAAAC